rnacentral:misc_RNA from 1 species
AAGUCGUAACAAGGUUUCCGUAGGUGAACCUGCGGAAGGAUCAUUAUCGAGUUAGGGUCUUCUAGGCCCGACCUCCAACCAUUUGUCUACUUUACCACUUGUUGCUUCGGCGAGUCCGCCCCUUGAAAUAUAGGGGCCGCCGGGGGUUCAUACCCUAGUCCGCGCUCGUCGAUAGCCAUCAUUAAAACUCUCAUUAGCUUUAAGCUGUGCGUCGUCAUGAAGUAAAAAAACCACUUUAAAUUAAAAUUAAAAA